rnacentral:misc_RNA from 1 species
GAUGAAGAACGUAGCGAAAUGCGAUAAGUAAUGUGAAUUGCAGAAUUCCGUGAAUCAUCGAAUCUUUGAACGCACAUUGCGCCCCCUGGUAUUCCGGGGGGCAUGCCUGUCCGAGCGUCAUUGCAACCUUCAAGCGCGGCUUGUGUGUUGGGUCUCGUCCCCCGUGGACGGGCCCGAAAGGCAGUGGCGGCGUCCCGACAUGGUGCCCGAGCGUAUGGGAAUCCUCUUCCGCUCGAAUCGGCCCAUGCGGCGCUGGUCGUAACCAAAUUUUUUACCGGUUGACCUCGGAUCAGGUAGGGAUACCCGCUGAACUUAAGCAUAUCAAUAAGCGGAUGA